AUCCAGCUGAAAAGUCCUAAAUAGGACGAAACGCAUGUCUUGGAU
rfam:Schistosoma margrebowiei strain Zambia genome assembly, scaffold: SMRZ_contig0001510